rnacentral:rRNA from 1 species
CACGUAGGCACCAAGCGUUGUCCGGAUUUAUUGGGCGUAAAGAGCUCGUAGGCGGUUCAGUAAGUCGGGUGUGAAAACUUUGGGCUUAACCCAAAGCGUGCAUCCGAUACUGCUGUGACUUGAGUUCGGUAGGGGAGUGGGGAAUUCCUAGUGUAGCGGUGAAAUGCGCAGAUAUUAGGAGGAACACCGGUGGCGAAGGCGGGUC